rnacentral:rRNA from 1 species
UACGACUACAUAUCAGGCAUAUCAAUAAGCGGAGGAAAAGAAACUAACAAGGAUUCCCUUAGUAACGGCGAGUGAAGCGGGAGGAGCUCAAAUUUGAGAUCUUCAAGGUUUUCCCUUGACGAAUUGUAGUUUAAAGAAGUGUUUUCUGUUGAAGUUUUGGUAAAAGUUCUUUGGAAUAGGACAUCAUAGAGGGUGAGAAUCCCGUAUUUGACCAUUAUUUUCAGCUGUGUGAUACACUUUCAAAGAGUCGGAUUGUUUGGGAAUGCAGUCCAAAAUGGGUGGUAAAUUUCAUCUAAAGCUAAAUAUUGGCGAGAGACCGAUAGCGAACAAGUACCGUGAGGGAAAGAUGAAAAGAACUUUGAAAAGAGAGUUAAACAGUACGUGAAAUUGUCAAAAGGGAAGCGUUUGACACCAGUGUUGUUUUCUCGAAAAUCAAUUAAAAAGAGUUGGAUUUUGUGUUGUAUUGACCUUAACAGCUUGCUUCACUCUUUUCCAGCUUUUUUUAAUGCACUUUUCGUUUAACAAGUCAACAUCAGUUUCUUUUGUUGUAAAAGGGUCAUUGGAAGGUGGCUUUCUCUUCGGAGAAAGUGUUUAUAGCCUUUGAUCUCUGCAAUCGGAGAGACUGAGGUCUGCAGCGUAGAUCCUUCGGGGCUAGAUACAUUUAUGCUAAGCUACAGCUUUUCAUAGACAACUUGUUGACUAUGUUUAGUCUUGUGACUUACCCGCUUAUGCUAUUUUACCUACGCUUAGGAUGUUGAGCGCAUGUCUCUCUCU